AAAAUCAAAGUGCCAGACCCGAGAGAAGCAGCUUGAGAGCGCGAGGGAAACAAGUAGCUCAUCACAACUUAUGGAAGAAGAAAGCAGAACUGAGGCUCCGCCUGAAACUCGAGGUGCAGCGACAAGGUGCACACCUGAGAAGAAGCCCUAUGGAGGGGCAAAGAUGACGACCUUUUGUGCCACCCAGAAAGAUUGUCUCUGCCGGGGUCGAGGUGGGACAGAACACCUAAGGACAGGUGGUCCUAGAGUAGCACGGGGAGCAGGUAGUACGGUGCGUGCAUAAGGCCCUCGGAUAUGCAGACAUGCGAAGUUUAUGUUGUGUUUUAGUUCAUGGUGUCGUAGUGUUGAGUUAAUCAGG